CAUCUGGCGGCGGAUGCUCAAAGGGGUGGUAACUUAGCCCCGGAGACGGUUGUAAGUCACGGGUCGCGUCGCAAGUUAGCUCCCCGCUAGUACCGUCCUCCGCAGCGAUGCACAGCGCGGUCGCAGCGGCGUGCUAAGGGUUAGCCCUAUGGUUCAUGAGUGAGGCGGUAGAGGGCCGGCAGCUCACCAGCUGAUGUGAUUGCAACCAAUGGAAAUCACUGAAACAAAGAAGACAGCCAAUCAGGAUCGAGGAAGGUGUUUGUAAACAAACGAUGGAAACUUGGGCAUUUGGUGCGGGGCCGUCUAGCCAGACCACUUGCUACGCUUCCCUACUUCCUUCCAUUCUUCCACCGACUGUUUCAGUGGCAACACCUGACCUCGCAGAGCCCGACCACUCCUCACACCAGUCAUCCGCGCCUCACUUGGCCCAUCCUCAAGAAGACGCAAACAAAUACCAGGAUGCUGCAACACCUGUAGAGGAGGAGGAGGAGGAAGAGGAGUGGAGGCAGGUGCAGCCCACCACCGAGGUUAUACCAGUGGAUAUGCCUGCGGCCCUUAAUGACCAUUUAUAUGUGGCAUUUAUGGG